rnacentral:rRNA from 1 species
UGGAUGAACGCUAGCUACAGGCUUAACACAUGCAAGUCGAGGGGCAGCAUGGUCUUAGCUUGCUAAGGCCGAUGGCGACCGGCGCACGGGUGAGUAACACGUAUCCAACCUGCCGUCUACUCUUGGACAGCCUUCUGAAAGGAAGAUUAAUACAAGAUGGCAUCAUGAGUCCACAUGUUCACAUGAUUAAAGGUAUUCCGGUAGACGAUGGGGAUGCGUUCCAUUAGAUAGUAGGCGGGGUAACGGCCCACCUAGUCUUCGAUGGAUAGGGGUUCUGAGAGGAAGGUCCCCCACAUUGGAACUGAGACACGGUCCAAACUCCUACGGGAGGCAGCAGUGAGGAAUAUUGGUCAAUGGGCGAGAGCCUGAACCAGCCAAGUAGCGUGAAGGAUGACUGCCCUAUGGGUUGUAAACUUCUUUUAUAAAGGAAUAAAGUCGGGUACGGAUACCCGUUUGCAUGUACUUUAUGAAUAAGGAUCGGCUAACUCCGUGCCAGCAGCCGCGGUAAUACGGAGGAUCCGAGCGUUAUCCGGAUUUAUUGGGUUUAAAGGGAGCGUAGAUGGAUGUUUAAGUCAGUUGUGAAAGUUUGCGGCUCAACCGUAAAAUUGCAGUUGAUACUGGAUAUCUUGAGUGCAGUUGAGGCAGGCGGAAUUCGUGGUGUAGCGGUGAAAUGCUUAGAUAUCACGAAGAACUCCGAUUGCGAAGGCAGCCUGCUAAGCUGCAACUGACAUUGAGGCUCGAAAGUGUGGGUAUCAAACAGGAUUAGAUACCCUGGUAGUCCACACGGUAAACGAUGAAUACUCGCUGUUUGCGAUAUACAGCAAGCGGCCAAGCGAAAGCGUUAAGUAUUCCACCUGGGGAGUACGCCGGCAACGGUGAAACUCAAAGGAAUUGACGGGGGCCCGCACAAGCGGAGGAACAUGUGGUUUAAUUCGAUGAUACGCGAGGAACCUUACCCGGGCUUAAAUUGCAGAUGAAUUACGGUGAAAGCCGUAAGCCGCAAGGCAUCUGUGAAGGUGCUGCAUGGUUGUCGUCAGCUCGUGCCGUGAGGUGUCGGCUUAAGUGCCAUAACGAGCGCAACCCUUGUUGUCAGUUACUAACAGGUUCCGCUGAGGACUCUGACAAGACUGCCAUCGUAAGAUGUGGGGAAGGUGGGGAUGACGUCAAAUCAGCACGGCCCUUACGUCCGGGGCUACACACGUGUUACAAUGGGGGGUACAGAGGGCCGCUACCACGCGAGUGGAUGCCAAUCCCAAAAACCUCUCUCAGUUCGGACUGGAGUCUGCAACCCGACUCCACGAAGCUGGAUUCGCUAGUAAUCGCGCAUCAGCCACGGCGCGGUGAAUACGUUCCCGGGCCUUGUACACACCGCCCGUCAAGCCAUGGGAGCCGGGGGUACCUGAAGUGCGUAACCGCGAGGAGCGCCCUAGGGUAAAACUGGUG